rnacentral:rRNA from 1 species
GGAAUCGUACCCCAAACCGACACAGGUGGUCGGGUAGAGAAUACCAAGGCGCUUGAGAGAACUCGGGUGAAGGAACUAGGCAAAAUGGUACCGUAACUUCGGGAGAAGGUACGCUCUUGAUGGUGAAGUCCCUCGCGGAUGGAGCUGACGAGAGUCGCAGAUACCAGGUGGCUGCAACUGUUUAUUAAAAACACAGCACUGUGCAAAAUCGCAAGAUGACGUAUACGGUGUGACGCCUGCCCGGUGCCGGAAGGUUAAUUGAUGGGGUUAGCGCAAGCGAAGCUCUUGAUCGAAGCCCCGGUAAACGGCGGCCGUAACUAUAACGGUCCUAAGGUAGCGAAAUUCCUUGUCGGGUAAGUUCCGACCUGCACGAAUGGCGUAAUGAUGGCCACGCUGUCUCCACCCGAGACUCAGUGAAAUUGAAAUCGCUGUGAAGAUGCAGUGUACCCGCGGCUAGACGGAAAGACCCCGUGAACCUUUACUACAGCUUGGCACUGAACAUUGAACCUACAUGUGUAGGAUAGGUGGGAGGCUAUGAAGACGUGACGCCAGUUGCGUUGGAGCCGUCCUUGAAAUACCACCCUUGUAUGUUUGAUGUUCUAACGUUGGCCCCUCAUCGGGGUCGCGGACAGUGCCUGGUGGGUAGUUUGACUGGGGCGGUCUCCUCCCAAAGAGUAACGGAGGAGCACGAAGGUGGGCUAAUCACGGUUGGACAUCGUGAGGUUAGUGCAAUGGCAUAAGCCCGCUUAACUGCGAGAAUGACGGUUCGAGCAGGUGCGAAAGCAGGUCAUAGUGAUCCGGUGGUUCUGAAUGGAAGGGCCAUCGCUCAACGGAUAAAAGGUACUCCGGGGAUAACAGGCUGAUACCGCCCAAGAGUUCAUAUCGACGGCGGUGUUUGGCACCUCGAUGUCGGCUCAUCACAUCCUGGGGCUGAAGUCGGUCCCAAGGGUAUGGCUGUUCGCCAUUUAAAGUGGUACGCGAGCUGGGUUUAGAACGUCGUGAGACAGUUCGGUCCCUAUCUGCCGUGGGCGUUGGAAGAUUGAAGGGGGCUGCUCCUAGUACGAGAGGACCGGAGUGGACGAACCUCUGGUGUUCGGGUUGUGUCGCCAGACGCAUUGCCCGGUAGCUAAGUUCGGAAU